ACCGGGGUGGCGCAGCGGGAGCGCGCGGGGCUCAUAACUCCGAGGUCAGAUGUUCGAUUCAUCUCUCCGGUA
rnacentral:tRNA from 1 species